rnacentral:tRNA from 1 species
UGGGCUGUGGCUCCGUGGUAGAGCACUUGCCCAGCAUGCUUGAGGCCCUGGGUUCAAUCCCUAGCACUGCAA